rnacentral:tRNA from 1 species
CGGGGCAUGGCGCAGUCUGGUAGCGGGGUGUCGGGGGUUCGAAUCCCUCUGCCCCGACCA